CGCCAACAUCACAGACAAAAGUUAGUGAACAGGCAAAAACUGUUCAACAGGAAAAAAUGAAGACCACUGAAAAGUACUUAAUGUUCAAGACCUCCACUUGAAAACAUGGGGCGAAGCAAGUUACAGCCCUGCAGCAGCCGUCGGGACGAGAGAUCCGACGGAGCCGGGCAAGGGAGCGAGGAAAAGAGAUGACGGAGGAGGCAGGAGUGGGGGAGCGGUGAACCCUGGCCGGAGCAAUCUGCCACACUUUAAUGAAGUCCAAUCUGCAAGACCGACGCGCCUGUGUCC